rnacentral:rRNA from 1 species
CGUUUAUAGAUAUUAAUUAUAAAUAGAUCCUGCCCACUGAUGAGAAUUAAAUGGCUGCAGUAGACUGACUGUGCAAAGGUAGCAUAAUCAAUUGCUUUUUAAUUGGAAGCUUGGAUGAAUGGAUUGACGAGAUUUUAAUUGUUUCAAUAAAAAUAAAUGAAUUUUAAAUUUAAGUAAGAAUGCUUAAAUAAGGUUAAAAGACGAUAAGACCCUAUAGAAUUUUAUAUAAGUUAAUUUUUGAAAGUGUAAAUUUAAUAUAAAAUAAUUAAUUAUAUUUGAUUGGGAGGAUAAUUAAAUUAAAAGAACUUUAAUGAUUUUAUACCAUAAGUAAAUGAAUAUUUGAUUAUUAUUAUAAUUAUUAGAAAAAAUUACCUUAGGGAUAACAGCGUAAUAUUUUUGGAGAGUCCAUAUUGAUAAAAAUGUUUGCGACCUCGAUGUUGAAUUAAGAUUUCUCUUAAUUGCAGAAGAUUAAGAUUGUUAGUCUGUUCGACUAUUAAAAUCUUACA